rnacentral:rRNA from 1 species
UACGUAGGGUGCGAGCGUUGUCCGGAAUUACUGGGCGUAAAGAGCUCGUAGGUGGUUUGUCGCGUUGUUCGUGAAAACCGGGGGCUUAACCCUCGGCGUGCGGGCGAUACGGGCAGACUGGAGUACUGCAGGGGAGACUGGAAUUCCUGGUGUAGCGGUGGAAUGCGCAGAUAUCAGGAGGAACACCAGUGGCGAAGGCGGGUCUCUGGGCAGUAACUGACGCUGAGGAGCGAAAGCGUGGGGAGCGAACAGG